rnacentral:rRNA from 1 species
GGUAUCGCCGUUAGUCAUGUGCAAAUAUGGAUAGCUGUUUUAGCCGUCUUUAUUGACUGGUUUAUAAGAGUUAUCACAUAUCACUUUGAUUAAAUUAGAGUGCUUAAAGCAAGUGUGUUACUUGGAUAUAAAUGCAUGGAAUGAUGGAAUAUGUUGUUAUUCUAUUUGUUGGUUUUUGAAUGAUAAAAUGAUUGAAAGGAACUGUUGGGGGCAUUCGUAUUGUUGUGAGAGAGGUGAAAUUCUUAGACCACAGCAAGACGAACUACUGCGAAAGCAUUUGCCAAGAAUGUUUUCAUUGAUCAAGAACGAAAGUUAGAGGUUCGAAGGCGAUCAGAUACCGCCCUAGUUCUAACCAUAAACUAUGCCAACUAGCAAUUUGCUUUGUAUUUUUUAUGACUAAGUGAGAGGCCACGGGAAACCUAAGUAGGGUUAUGGGGGAAGUAUGGUUGCAAAGCUGAAACUUAAAGGAAUUGACGGAAGGGCACCACCAGGAGUGGAGCCUGCGGCUUAAUUUGACUCAACACGGGAAAACUUACCUGGUCCUGACACUAGAAGGAUUGACAGAUUGAUAGCUCUUUCUUGAUUUGGUGGAUGGUGGUGCAUGGCCGUUCUUAGUUGGUGGAGUGAUUUGUCUGGUUAAUUCCGAUAACGAACGAGACUCUAGCCUAUUAAAUAAUACACGGAAUUUUAUCUUCCGCGGUAUUUCUUAGUGGGAUCAAGCG